GAUGAACGCUGGCGGCGUGCCUAAUACAUGCAAGUCGAGCGAACAGACGAGGAGCUUGCUCCUCUGACGUUAGCGGCGGACGGGUGAGUAACACGUGGAUAACCUACCUAUAAGACUGGGAUAACUUCGGGAAACCGGAGCUAAUACCGGAUAAUAUAUUGAACCGCAUGGUUCAAUAGUGAAAGACGGUUUUGCUGUCACUUAUAGCUGGAUCCGCGCCGCAUUAGCUAGUUGGUAAGGUAACGGCUUACCAAGGCAACGAUGCGUAGCCGACCUGAGAGGGUGAUCGGCCACACUGGAACUGAGACACGGUCCAGACUCCUACGGGAGGCAGCAGUAGGGAAUCUUCCGCAAAGGGCGAAAGCUUGACGGAGCAACGCCGCGUGAGUGAUGAAGGUCUUCGGAUCGUAAAACUCUGUUAUUAGGGAAGAACAAAUGUGUAAGUAACUAUGCACGUCUUGACGGUACCUAAUCAGAAAGCCACGGCUAGCUACGUG
rnacentral:rRNA from 1 species